rnacentral:ncRNA from 2 species
AAGAGCGGAGUGAACCGAGAGGCUCACGCUCCGUUCUGCGGGAGCCGGGGGUGCGAUCCCCCCGGGCCACCCGAC